rnacentral:rRNA from 1 species
UACAGAGGUCUCAAGCGUUGUUCGGAUUCAUUGGGCGUAAAGGGUGUGUAGGUGGCGCGCUAAGUCGGGUGUGAAAUCUCGGAGCUUAACUCCGAAACUGCAUUCGAUACUGCCGUGCUUGAGGACUGGAGAGGAGACUGGAAUUUACGGUGUAGCGGUGAAAUGCGUAGAUAAUCGUAAGGAAGACCAGUGGCGAAGGCGGGUCUCUGGACAGUUCCUGACGCUGAGGCACGAAGGUCAGGGGAGCAAACGGG